AAAGUACUCCCUCCGUCCCAAAAUUCUUGUCUUAGAUUUGUCUAGAUACGGAUAUAUCAAGUCACAUUUUAGUAUUAGAUACAUCCGUAUCUAGACAAAUCUAAGACAAGAAAUUUGGGACAGAGGGGGUAGUUG
rnacentral:pre_miRNA from 1 species